GCAAAUGCUGGCCUUCUCAUGCAGCUUGACAUGGGGUAUGCAGAAAAAUGUCGGCAGUUUGGCUAACAAGCCCCAAUUAAAUGUUUGUCUCAUGUAAACCUUUUGAGGCAGCUGCUCGUAUAUACAUCCUGUGGCUCCAGUGUGGCAGCUCCUUUAACUGCAACACUUCAUGAUUAAGUUAAAUGGCUAUAAAGGGCUGAGCCUUGCUGCGAGAUUCACAUCUCUGCGAGGCUGUGCUGUUGCCUUUUCCCUACUAGCUAAAACUUCAAACCAUAUGCAACAUCCUGGGCCGGAGUUUAUCCAGAUGCUGCAGCUUCUUCCCUCAAAACAAACACAUGCAGCACAGCCUCACACUGCCUUCCCAAAGAGAGCAGCCUCUGCACAGGAACAUCAGCAGCCAGGGCCGAGUCCCACCAGCUGUACUCUGGUGACAGCACGCAGGUCGGCCUGUGGUUGAUCAGGUAGCGGUUCAGGUAGCUCU